rnacentral:rRNA from 2 species
AAACGACUCUCGGCAACGGAUAUCCCGGCUCUCGCAUCGAUGAAGAACGUAGCGAAAUGCGAUACUUGGUGUGAAUUGCAGAAUCCCGUGAACCAUCGAGUUUUUGAACGCAAGUUGCGCCCGAUGCCAUUAGGCUGAGGGCACGUCUGCCUGGGUGUCAUGU